GAUAAACGCUGGCGGCGCACAUAAGACAUGCAAGUCGAACGAACUUAACUAAAAUAUUUAUAUUUUAGAGCGGUUAGUGGCGGACUGGUGAGUAACGCGUAAGCAAUCUACCUAUUAGAGGGGAAUAACAGUGAGAAAUCACUGCUAAUACCGCAUAUGCCAUGAGUAUCGCAUGAUACAAAUGGGAAAGGAGUAAUCCGCUAAUAGAUGAGCUUGCGUCUGAUUAACUAGUUGGCGUGGUAACGGCACACCAAGGUAACGAUCAGUAGCCGGACUGAGAGGUUGAACGGCCACAUUGGGACUGAGAUACGGCCCAG
rnacentral:rRNA from 1 species